GUGUCAGCAGCCGCGGUAAGACGAACCGUGCGAACGUUAUUCGGAAUCACUGGGCUUAAAGCGCGUGUAGGCGGGAGGGCACGUCCGUCGCUGAAAUCCCCCGGCUCAACCGGGGAACGGGCGCGGAUACGACCUUCCUGGAGGGGCGUAGGGGGACCUGGAACUUCCGGUGGAGCGGUGAAAUGCGUUGAGAUCGGAAGGAACGCCCGUGGCGAAAGCGAGGUCCUGGACGCCUACUGACGCUGAGACGCGAAAGCCAGGGGAGCGAACGGGAUUAGAUACCCCCGUAGUCC
rnacentral:rRNA from 1 species